rnacentral:rRNA from 1 species
UGGAGAGUUUGAUCCUGGCUCAGAACGAACGUUGGCGGCGUGGAUUAGGCAUGCAAGUCGAGCGGGAUUAGCUUUUUUCAAUUCUUCGGAAAAGAAAGCUGCUAUGAAAGCGGCGAACGGGUGAGUAAUAUAUGGGUAAUUUACCUCUAAGUUCGGGAUAGCCAUCGGAAACGAUGAUUAAUACCGGAUGUGAUCGACCUCCGCAUGGAGGUUUCUUUAAAGGUGGGGAUUCUUCGGAACCUACCGCUUGGAGAUGAGCCCAUAUCCUAUCAGCUUGUUGGUGAGGUAACGGCUCACCAAGGCUUACGGGUAGCUGGUCUGAGAGGAUGGUCAGCCACACUGGGACUGAGACACUGCCCAGACUCCUACGGGAGGCUGCAGUCGAGGAUCGUUUGCAAUGCGCGAAAGCGUGACAAUGCGACGCUGCGUGGAGGAUGAAGGCUUUCGGGUUGUAAACUCCUGUCAUGAGGGAAAAGACGCAUGAAUAGUAAUACUAUUUAUGCCCGAUGGUACCUCAAGAGGAAGCGACGGCUAACUCUGUGCCAGCAGCCGCGGUAAUACAGAGGUGGCGAACGUUGUUCGGAUUUACUGGGCGUAAAGGGUCCGCAGGCGGUUCGAUGUGUCAGAUGUGAAAGCCCACAGCUUAACUGUGGAAUUGCAUUUGAAACUGCCGAGCUAGAGUACUGGAGGGGAGAAGGGAACACUUGGUGUAGCGGUUAAAUGCGUAGAUAUCAAGUGGAACAC